GGCCACCUAAGAUGGAAGAAGCCGUGAGAUGAAUAAGUGUUGCCCACUCACAAGGUUGCAAACUGUCCUUCACUUACAAUUAUCCCCCAACUCCCCCUCCUAAAUCUGAUCAAUCACAUGGAACUUGAUGGUUACAAAAGACAGAGCUAACAACUAGCUACCUUGCAGGAACGGGAACGUCAUUCUGAGGAUAGUCCACAUGCAAGUGUUCUAAGGUUGACAUCACUACUUCAUCAUUCACCUCAUUUUCCCAGAACAGAAGCACCAAGAAAAUUAUCACCAUUAUUAUCAUCAGAGAUUAAGAAGCAGCAAUGCCCCUCUUGUGGCAAGGGUUGGCAGCAUAUGGUUGGUAUGUCAACGAAUCCAAGGUCCAACGGCCUGGAUUGUCUACCAAAUGCUUGGGAGUUGUUUGAUCAGGUUGACAUGCUCCAACAGCAUUGUGGACUGGGCCCACACCUACGCU
rnacentral:antisense_RNA from 1 species